rnacentral:lncRNA from 1 species
AUGGGUGUGCUCCAGGCCAGACCAUGCUUGGGCCUCAUCCAGGACAUGGUCCAGCUCCUGCAGAGUGGUGAGAUCAAGACAGUGGUCAAUCUGGUUUCUGCAGACCUGGAGGUAGCCCAGAAAAGUGGCUUGUCUUAAAGGUCUUGGUCACCCUGAGGUGGGCGCUGCUGGCUCAGUUCUCAGCUUUCCCCUUCAAUGGUGCUGAUCUGUUCAAGGAACUGAAGACUUCCACUGCCAUCCUGUCCAUUGGCAUUGGAAGCCUGGACAAACUGCUUUAUGCUUAUCUCUAUACUGGAGAAGUGACUGGAAUCACAGGAGGCCCAGGUAGCAGUAAAACCCAGGUAUGUCUUUGGGUGGCUGCAAACGUGGCCCACGGCUGCAAC